CCAGACUCCUACGGGAGGCAGCAGUGGGGAAUAUUGCACAAUGGGGGAAACCCUGAUGCAGCGACGCCGCGUGAGUGGAGAAGUAUUUCGGUAUGUAAAGCUCUAUCAGCAGGGAAGAAAAAAGACGGUACCUGACUAAGAAGCCCCGGCUAACUACGUGCCAGCAGCCGCGGUAAUACGUAGGGGGCAAGCGUUAUCCGGAUUUACUGGGUGUAAAGGGAGCGUAGACGGCGCAGCAAGUCUGAAGUGAAAGGCAGGGGCUUAACCCCUGAACUGCUUUGGAAACUGCCAUGCUAGAGUGCUGGAGAGGUAAGUGGAAUUCCUAGUGUAGCGGUGAAAUGCGUAGAUAUUAGGAGGAACACCAGUGGCGAAGGCGGCCUGCUGGGCUUUAACUGACUCUGAGGCUCGAAAGCGUGGGGAGCAAACAGGAUUAGAUACCCCAGUAU
rnacentral:rRNA from 1 species